rnacentral:rRNA from 1 species
CUAAGGUAGCAUAGUCAUUUGCUAUUUAAUUGGUAGCUGGAAUGAAAGGUUAAACUAACCCACCAGGUUUGUAAGACUUUACAGAAGCUUAAAGUUAAGGUAAGAAUUCUUUAAUUUUCUAGGGGACGAUAAGACCCUAGAAGCUUGACAAAAAGGCGAGUUUGUGUUAAAAGUUUGUUUGUUUUACUGGGGCGGUAAAAAUAAUUAAGCUAUUUAGUGAACAGGAGAUCCCUUAGAUAAAGAGAAAGUAGGAAAGUUACUCUAGGGGUAA